GGGGGCGGGGCCUGCGGGCCGGCGGGCUGAGGCGGAGGCCCCUCCUCCCCGCCGGACCCCGCCAGCUCGGGCGCCCGCGGCGGCGCGGCCAUGAAGCUGAAGCUGAAGAACGUGUUUCUCGCCUACUUCCUGGUGUCGAUCGCCGGCCUCCUCUACGCGCUGGUGCAGCUCGGCCAGCCAUGUGAUUGUCUCCCUCCCCUGCGGGCAGCUGCUGAGCAGCUUCGGCAGAAGGAUCUGAGGAUUUCCGAGCUGCAAGCUGAUCUCCGUCGCCCACCCCCAGCCCCUGCCCAGCCCCCUGAACCUGAGGCCCUGCCUACUAUCUAUGUCAUUACCCCCACCUACGCCAGGCUGGUGCAGAAGGCAGAACUGGUGAGGCUGUCCCAGACCCUGAGCCUGGUUCCCCGGCUGCACUGGUUGUUGGUGGAGGACUCCGAUGGCCCUACCCCACUGGUUUCGGGGCUGCUGUCUGCCUCUGGCCUCCUCUUCACACACCUGGCUGUCCUUACCCCCAAGGCCCAGCGGCUUCGGGAAGGCGAGCCAGGCUGGGUUCGCCCCCGUGGUGUAGAGCAGCGGAACAAGGCCCUGGAGUGGCUUCGGGGCAGAGGGGGCGCCGUGGGGGGGGAGAAGGACCCACCGCCACCGGGGACCCAGGGAGUCGUGUACUUUGCUGAUGAUGACAACACCUAUAGCCGGGAGCUCUUUGAGGAGACCUCUGUUAGAUGCGCUGGACUCGUGGUGUCUCAGUGUGGCCCGUGGGGCUGGUGGGCGGUCUGCGAUUCGAGGGCCCUCGGGUACAGGACGGCCGGGUUGUGGGCUUCCACACAGCAUGGGAGCCCAACAGGCCCUUCCCCGUGGAUAUGGCGGGAUUUGCUGUUGCUCUGCCCUUGCUGUUGGCUAAGCCCAGUGCCCAGUUUGAUGCUACUGCUCCCCGAGGACACCUGGAGAGCAGUCUUCUGAGCCAUCUAGUGGAUCCCAAGGACUUAGAGCCACGGGCUGCCAAUUGCACUCGGGUACUGGUGUGGCAUACACGGACAGAGAAACCCAAGAUGAAGCAGGAGGAACAGCUACAGCGGCAGGGCCGGGGCUCAGACCCUGCCAUUGAGGUGUGAUGGCAGCCCCACCCUGACUUCCACCUUAUUUUAGGCACAGACCUUGUGGGACUGGGCACAUGGCCUGCCCAGGAUGUGGUUUUCCAAAUCCUGACCCCUGAGAGCCAGAGGCAGCCCCUCCAGCCCUAGGGCAUGGCCCAGCUGCUCCUCCCCUCCUUCAGCCUGCCAUGUGGCACUGCCCACAAGGCUGGGGACAAGCAGCCCUUGUGUUGAGCCAGGUCAGCCCUGUCUGGGGUGGAGCAAAAGGACAGAUGGACUUGGGAGGGAGGGUGGCUAAGGAACUGGGUAACUUAUUGGGGCUGGGUAUGCACUCGGGGGCUGAAGGAGCUGGGCUGGACCCUCCCCACUUGAGCAUGCGGACCCCCCUCCUACCUCCAGAAUAAAGAAUCUCAACCUGG